CUACGGGCUGCUCCAGUGGGGAAUAUUGGACAAUGGGCGAAAGCCUGAUCCAGCCAUGCCGCGUGAGUGAUGAAGGCCUUAGGGUUGUAAAGCUCUUUUGUCAGGGAAGAUAAUGACGGUACCUGAAGAAUAAGCACCGGCUAACUUCGUGCCAGCAGCCGCGGUAAUACGAAGGGUGCUAGCGUUGUUCGGAAUCACUGGGCGUAAAGCGCGCGUAGGCGGUUUUGCAAGUCAGAGGUGAAAGCCUGGAGCUCAACUCCAGAACUGCCUUUGAAACUGCAAGACUAGAGUGUCGGAGGGGAUAGCGGAAUUGCUAAUGUAGAGGUGAAAUUCGUAGAUAUUAGCAGGAACACCGGUGGCGAAGGCGGCUAUCCGGACGACAACUGACGCUGAGGCGCGAAAGCGUGGGGAUCAAACAGGAUUAGAUACCCGGGUAGUC
rnacentral:rRNA from 1 species